UUAUAUAUAUAUAUAUCUAUAUAGUUUUAAGUAAAAUAUCUGUUUUUACCAAAAUACGAUAUACAGGCACACAGCUGUAAAAUAACUUUCAACCAGUUCACUAUAAAAUUACUUUUGGUAAUAAAUAAUCUGAUUCUCAGUGGCAAACUGCUCCUCCUGCCCCUGCAGGCGGCUGCCCGGGGCACAGACCCUCUUCUCCCCUUCCACAACUUUCCCUCCCUCUCCCACCUGCAUUCCCCUUGUCCUUCGCACCGAGCCUUGGCCAGGGCAGAAGCAAUUUGUACUUUUUAGCCUGCGUGAGGUGGAAUCCUGCUCACGAAGUGUCACUUGGAACCAAGAAGUGGUAAUAAAACACGUGCCAGAAGAAGUCUGCAGAGUCAACGCAGCAGAUACUCACACCAGGCUUUUACUCUCAAAGGAAGAGCUGUGCGGCUCAGGGGGCUCCUUCAGGCCAGCAAGUUGCACCCAAGUCUGCUCUCAAUGGGAAUGAAACCAGGAUCUCUAAGAGGAAAACAUCUAUGCAUGCAUCCAGGCAGCUGGCACGUUAGUAAGUCAAUAGGAAUCCAGAGACACUUCUUAAUCCCUCAAAAGAUCUGUCAAAUUCAGAAAUCGAACUAAAUCUCCUCUCGUGACACAGUUAUGGUUUGGAGAGGGGAAAAAAAGUGACUUAAUUUCACUCCUAAAUAUAAAGCAGACACAUGUCUGAUGUGUUCCUCCCCUGCUCUAUUUGUGGACAUUAAGAUCUUCCAAGCACUUGCAAUACAUUUGGUCACAGAAACGGUAUUGCUCUAAAAGUCGAAGAUAGUAAAAAUGCACAAGAGCCACCUCAGGAAUGUAGAAUCUCUGCCCUGGAGAUCUGUGCCCCAUCCUCUGCACCAGCCUCCCGCACACGGAUGCUGACUGCAGCUAGCCUGACAUUAGGGAGUUGCAUAGAGCAGCUUUCAGCUCUGUAUAUUAGAUUUUUACCCUUGUUUGUAAGCUUAAUUCUUGCUGCUGCAGCCUGCAGCGCUCCCUCAGUUCCAGGAGCAGCAGCAGCCACCACAGAUGAGCCACCAACACUAAGCAGCCACGUAACACGGAAGGGGCAGGACGGAACAAGGGCUCUGCAGCGGCUAUCGGUGGUGGUCUAUAGUCAGAACAGUUACUGAAAGAGAAUCUAACACAGAUAAAGCUUUUACAAAGGAAGCCUCAAGACAAGAAAGCUGUUCAGACAGAUCCCAAGCUUUUUAGCUUUCUGGGAAAAGUAGACUCAAAGCACAGUUACAGCACAGGGAAGGUGGCUGGAAAGGAGAGGUGCUUCACAGCAGCAUGCCACGGGUGACUAUUGGAUUAGCACUGUCAUCCCAUCCUUAGGGGAAAAGCCUGACCAGAGCUACUGACCUCCUAGCUUUUGAAGAUGAUUAUUUGGAACCUGAUUUCCUGUUCUCUCCAUCUAUUUCCUAUGAUCCUUAAAAGACAUCUCUCUAGGGUUUGAAGGGUUUAGUACGUCAUGACUUGA
rnacentral:lncRNA from 1 species